GAUGAACGCUGGCGGCGUGCUUAACACAUGCAAGUCGAACGGGAUCCAAGGGGUGCUUGCACUUUUUGGUGAGAGUGGCGAACGGGUGAGUAACACGUGAGUAACCUGUCCUUUUCUUUGGGUUAAGCAUUCGAAAGGGUGUUUAAUACCUUAUGUUCUGUCUGCCUCGCAUGGGGUGGGUGGGAAAGGCUUUGGCCGGAUUUGGGUGGGCUCGCGGUCUAUCAGCUUGUUGGUGGGGUGAUGGCUUACCAAGGCUUUGACGGGUAGCCGGCCUGAGAGGGUGGUCGGUCACAUUGGGACUGAGAUACGGCCCAGACUCCUGCGGGAGGCAGCAGUGGGGGAUAUUGCACAAUGGGCGAAAGCCUGAUGCAGCGACGCCGCGUGGGGGAUGAAGGCCUUCGGGUUGUAAACUUCUGUUGCUCUGAACAAGGCAUGCCAGUGGGUGUGUUGAGUGUAGGGGUUGAUUAGCGCCGGCUAACUACGUG
rnacentral:rRNA from 1 species